GGGACAUAGCUCAGUUGGUAGAGUGCUUGCUUCGCAUGCACCAGGCCCUGGGUUUAAUCCCCAGAAAAACACUCUCA
rnacentral:tRNA from 1 species